AGAGUUUGAUCAUGGCUCAGAUUGAACGCUGGCGGCAUGCUUUACACAUGCAAGUCGAACGGGGUGAGGGGGCAACUCCUCAUCUAGUGGCGAACGGGUGAGUAAUGCAUCGGAACGUGUCCCGUAGUGGGGGAUAACCCGGCGAAAGCCGGACUAAUACCGCAUAUGCUCUACGGAGGAAAGUGGGGGAUCCGCAAGGACCUUACGCUAUGGGAGCGGCCGAUGUCCGAUUAGCUUGUUGGUGGGGUAAUGGCCUACCAAGGCGACGAUCGGUAGCUGGUCUGAGAGGAUGAUCAGCCACACUGGGACUGAGACACGGCCCAGACUCCUACGGGAGGCAGCAGUGGGGAAUUUUGGACAAUGGGGGCAACCCUGAUCCAGCCAUGCCGCGUGCGGGAAGAAGGCCUUCGGGUUGUAAACCGCUUUUAGUCGGGAAGAAAAGGCACGGGUGAAUACCCCGUGUUUUUGACGGUACCGGCGGAAUAAGCACCGGCUAACUACGUGCCAGCAGCCGCGGUAAUACGUAGGGUGCGAGCGUUAAUCGGAAUUACUGGGCGUAAAGCGUGCGCAGGCGGUUCGUCGUGUCCGAUGUGAAAGCCCCGGGCUCAACCUGGGAAUGGCAUUGGAAACUGGCGGACUCGAGUGUGGCAGAGGGGGGUGGAAUUCCGCGUAGCAGUGAAAUGCGUAGAGAUGCGGAGGAACACCGAUGGCGAAGGCAGCCCCCUGGGCUAACACUGACGCUCAGGCACGAAAGCGUGGGGAGCAAACAGGAUUAGAUACCCUAGUAGUCC
rnacentral:rRNA from 1 species